rnacentral:lncRNA from 1 species
UUGUUUUCUUUAACCUUUCAAAAAAAGCAAAUUUUAAAAAUACAGACUGAUGAGUUUGCAAAAUAGAAAAUUUUGGAAGGCAUAAUUGAAUGCCUCAUUAAAAAAGCAAAGACUGUGACUAUAAAUUGUUCCUUAGAGAUUUGCUAAAAGCAGCAGAGUAAAGGAGCAGCAGCUGAAGGGGAUGUUGGAUGAAGGGAGGGUAGGUAUUUUUGCUUAGAAGGAAAUGCUUGUAUUACUCAUGGCAAUAAUUUAAUAGGGAGGAAUACAUUAAUGGUGGAUUUUUUUGGAAGAGAGGGUAAUUGCAGUACCAAGAUCAAGUAGAAAAGAGAUGAGCUCCUGUUGAGCCUUAAAAGAGAACAGAAAUACCCACAUGCCAUAACAAAAAGGAAGUAGGUGCUGUGAUCAGUACCUUUGUUGGUGGAAAAAUGUUGGAAAGUCAGUCUAAUUUCUUCUGUUCUCAAUGGAGUAUUAAAGGAAAGUUAUCAGCUGAGAAUACAGAGGAAGAGGAAGUUUAGGAGAUCUGAAUAAUAGGAAAAAGUGGAGCCUGAAAAGGAACACUCUAGACCAGUGUAUUAGAAUUGGUGAUGAAUCUACUGAUGGGCAUGGUACUACACACCUAUAAUCCCAGCUACUUGGGAGACUGAGGUAGGAGAUGCACAUUUAAGGCCAGCCUCAGCAAUUUAGUAAGACUCCAGGGUUGGGGAUGUAACUCAUGGUAAAGUUCCCUUGAGUUCAAUCCACAGUACCAAAAAAAAAAAGUAAAGAGCUGGUGAGUAAUGUUAAGUUCCUACAGAUAUUUUGGACAUAAAUUUAAAGAGCUCCAGUGUGAACUUUACACUAGCUGUGUGACCACAAGGAGACAGUAGUAAGCAUUUAGUUGGACUUGACAAUAGUUGGGAAUUGCCUAAACUAGUGCUGGAGAGAGCAGCAAGGAUGCUAAAAAAUUUGUAAGGGAAUGACUUUUUAUUCUCUGUGUCCUUCCAGGGCUUCUUUGUGCUAAAACAAGC